CUGGCUCAGGGCCGCGCUCCACUCGGAAGUGAUGGGGUGAGCAGGGGGGGGACGACCUCUCUCCCUGCUUCAGCGCACAGCCGCCUUUGAGGAAGGCACCAGUGUCACCCCAACCCCACAGAGAAGGCGGGGACGCUCGGGGUGUCUUAGUUGCUUGUCCCAGGUCACAGCAGGAAGUGGUAGACUUUCUUAAUGGGGGAGAAGAGGGCUGUGAGGAGCGCGGCGUGUUGCCAUCUGCUUCGUGGACCUCUGCCUGGGCCGCGUCGGAGGGUUUCUCUCCGGGAGAGGCGAGCGGCUCCGUGAGUGGGAGCAGGUCCUAUAUGAUAGACUGUGGCUAGAGGACUGAUCUUGGGGUCAUCUAACUGCGUGGGUGCGGUAGACGUGCAAAUAGAGGACUUUGACUUUCUGAGCCUCGGCUUUCCUCAUCUGCGUAAAGGGAGCGAUAGCAGCACACGCCAGCAUUACUGGGAGGAUUCAGCGAGUUAAUGUUUGCAGAAGUCCUUUGGAAACGGUGGUGGCUCCACGGGUUUGCUUUUCCCCUACUCCGGACCCCUUCCCCACUCCUUACUGUCAAGGUGGCGCCCAGAAGCGUCUGCUCUCUGCAGUGCUCAUGUGACGAGUCUGUUGGAUGGCGUUGGGUUAAGAGUGGUCCUCUGGGACCCAGAAUAGCUAACAGUGGCCACCCAUGAAGUGUCCCAGCCACCGGGGACUUCCCAUGCAGUCACCUCACCCUCACCUUACUCCCCAAGGUGGAUGGAUGCGACGGCCUGGAGAUGCCGAGGGCUGUCCUGCCAGCUCGUGGGGAGACCCCGUCCACCAGCAGCGUGGAAGCAGCAGGGCCAGGAGAUGGAGAAUCCAGAGAGAUUCCUUCACCUACAGGACCCAGCUGGGCAUGUCUCUGGACUUCUCAGUAAGUUCCGGAAGAAGAGGGUUUUCCGACAGUGGCUGCAGCAGGCAGGCCCCAAAGGCAGUUUUCAGUGAUUAUGAAGUGUCAAGAAACGGAACAGCCUCUCGUCUCCAGCCUUCGGGGACCAGGAUGAGGGAAAAGAGAAGCAUGAUUCCUACCGACCAAGUUCUGUGAGGAUGAACUUUCAGGACGAGAGAGCGUGGGUGAGGCCGGGCGAGAUCCCUGUGCGGGGGACCAAGCCGUGAAUGGAGCGGGUGGCUCGUCCUUGGGGGUUUCUGAGGAUCCCUGGCAUUUCAGAGGGAAAUCUCAACUUCUCCCUUGCAUUUGUUUUAAAAU